CUAUUAAUUUGGCAACACAUAUACUAAAAGUGGAAUGAUACAGUGAAGAUUAGCAUGGCCCUACACAAGGAUGACAUGCAAAUUUGUGAAGCACUAGAUAUUUGG